UAGCUCAAUUGGAUAGAGCAUCUGACUACGGAUCAGAAGGUUGGGGGUUCGAGUCCCU
rnacentral:tRNA from 1 species